UCUGAAUUUCACUAGCUCUUCAUAUAGGCUCUAUCACACAGACAGUUCUCAGAUAGGUCUUACCAUUGUCAGCUUGUUAAGCUCUGCCAGGCCAACCAAACAUGAAUGAUCAGACAGACAGUUCUCAGAUAGGUCUUACCAUUGUCAGCUUGUUAAGCUCUGCCAGGCCAACCAAACAUGAAUGAUCACACAGACAGUUCUCAGAUAGGUCUUACCAUUGUCAGCUUGUU